rnacentral:rRNA from 1 species
GACGUAGGGCGCGAGCGUUGUCCGGAUUUAUUGGGCGUAAAGAGCUCGUAGGCGGCUUGUCGCGUCGACUGUGAAAACCCGCGGCUCAACCGCGGGCCUGCAGCCGAUACGGGCAGGCUAGAGUUCGGGUAGGGGAGAACUGGAUACCCGGUGGAGCGGAUGAAAUGCGUAGAGAUCGGGUGGAACACCAGCGGCGAAGGCGGCAUCCUGGCCCUGUACUGACGCUGAGGCGCGAUAGCGUGGGGAGCAAACGGG